rnacentral:tRNA from 1 species
UGGGCUAGGCUCAGUGGUAGAGUGCUUGCCUGGCGUGCAUGAGGCUCUGGGUUCAAUCCCUAGUACCACAC